rnacentral:rRNA from 1 species
AAUAGAUACCCAGGUAGUCCACGCCCUAAACGAUGUCAACUGGUUGUCGGGGAAGCAAUUCCUUGGUAACGAAGCUAACGCGUGAAGUUGACCGCCUGGGGAGUACGGCCGCAAGGUUAAAACUCAAAGGAAUUGACGGGGACCCGCACAAGCGGUGGAUUAUGUGGAUUAAUUCGAUGCAACGCGAAAAACCUUACCUACCCUUGACAUGUACGGAACUUGGCAGAGAUGCCUUGGUGCCCGAAAGGGAGCCGUAACACAGGUGCUGCAUGGCUGUCGUCAGCUCGUGUCGUGAGAUGUUGGGUUAAGUCCCGCAACGAGCGCAACCCUUGUCAUUAGUUGCUACAUUCAGUUGGGCACUCUAAUGAGACUGCCGGUGACAAACCGGAGGAAGGUGGGGAUGACGUCAAGUCCUCAUGGCCCUUAUGGGUAGGGCUUCACACGUAAUACAAUGGCCGGUACAGAGGGCUGCCAACCCGGCGAGGGGGGAGCUAAUCCCAGAAAGCCGGUCGUAGUCCGGAUUGUUCUCUGCAACUCGAGAGCA